rnacentral:lncRNA from 1 species
AUUCUGUUACUAGGGUCCCAUGUCACAAUGCUAUGGGACUACCAUGAAGGCAGUCCAGACAAGAAGAAAAUGCUUCACCAAGAACUGGGAAGAGAGGAGCACCUGAGAUCUGGAAGCAGGAAAAAUGGCAAAAGUCCCCAAGUGAUGGUGGAAACGCUCGAAGAGGUCUUACAGAAAGAGGGUGGUUAGCCAGAGAGAUAAGCGUAUCAAAAUAGAUGAGUGCAAAUGCUGAUAUAGGAACAGAGAUCUGGAGACAGUGGCCAUAGAGGAAGCUAAAAAACCAUCAGGUAAUAUAACAUGUACAUGUUUCCUACAGUGGCAGUAGCAUAGGAGAAAGGUACAGGCAGCUUUAAAGCAACAAACAAAACAACAGUAGACAAUGACCAGGAAAUAUGGUGAGAAGAGUCAUCGGAAGAAAAGAAAGGCAAAACUAAGCAGGACACAGGCUGGGAAAUAUCAGCUAAGGUGGGUGUGGUAUGGUAAGUGCAGAGGGUU